rnacentral:rRNA from 1 species
UGGGGAAUAUUGGACAAUGGGCGAAAGCCUGAUCCAGCAAUGCCGCGUGAGUGAUGAAGGCCUUAGGGUUGUAAAGCUCUUUACCCGGGAUGAUAAUGACAGUACCGGGAGAAUAAGCUCCGGCUAACUCCGUGCCAGCAGCCGCGGUAAUACGGAGGGAGCUAGCGUUGUUCGGAAUUACUGGGGCGUAAAGCGCACGUAGGCGGCUUUGUAAGUAGAGGUGAAAAGCCUGGAGCUCAACUCCCAGAAUUGCCUUUAAGACUGCAUCGCUCGAAUCCAGGAGAGGUGAGUGGAAUUCCGAGUGUAGAGGUGAAAUUCGUAGAUAUUCGGAAGAACACCAGUGGCGAAGGCGGCUCACUGGACUGGUAUUGACGCUGAGGUGCGAAAAGCGUGGGGAGCAAAACAGGAUUAGAUACCCUGGUAGUCCACGCCGUAAAACGAUGAUAACUAGCUGUCCGGGGGACCUGGUCCUUGGGUGGCGCAGCUAACGCAUUAAAGUUAUCCGCCUGGGGGAGUACGG